GGUGCUUUAGUGGUGUGAUAUUUGAUGUACAUAGGUUGUGGGCUAUGGUGGGAUGGGGUGGAAUCAUAUGCGUCAUUGGGGAUAUAGUAAGAUGUGGUGGUGACAUGUGGUUAUUGGUGGUAUAUGACAUGCUCUUGGUUUUGUGUUUGGAUGUGUGGCAUGAAUUGGUUGCGAGGUUGGAUGUUUAUGGGUUUGUAAUCAUGUUUGAUUGGUGGUUGGGUG
rnacentral:lncRNA from 1 species